UCGAACGGGGAUCAGCGGUGUAGCAAUACAUUGUUGGUCCUAGUGGCGCACGGGUGAGUAACACGUGGGUAACCUGCCCUUGAGUUCGGGAUACCCCCUCGAAAGGGGGGCUAAUACCGGAUACGUUCCUCGGAUCGACAGGUCUGAGGAGGAAAGGUGGCGCAAGCUGCCGCUCUUGGAGGGGCUCGCGGCCUAUCAGCUAGUUGGCGGGGUAAUGGCCCACCAAGGCUAUGACGGGUAGCUGGUCUGAGAGGACGACCAGUCACACGGGGACUGAGACACGGCCCCGACUCCUACGGGAGGCAGCAGUGGGGAAUUUUCCGCAAUGGGCGAAAGCCUGACGGAGUGACGCCGCGUGUGGGACGAAGGCCUUCGGGUCGUAAACCACUGUCAGUGGGAAAGAAGGAUGUCGGCGCUAAUACCGCCGGCAUUUGACGGUACCUGCAGAGGAAGCCCCGGCCAACUCUGUGCCAGCAGCCGCGGUAAGACAGAGGGGGCAAGCGUUGCUCGGAAUUACUGGGCGUAAAGGGCGCGUAGGCGGGAUGGCAAGUCGGUCGUGAAAUCCUUCGGCUCAACCGAAGAAUGUCGAUCGAUACUGCUGUUCUUGAGGAUUGCAGAGGAGACUGGAAUUCCCGGUGUAGCGGUGAAAUGUGUAGAGAUCGGGAGGAACACCGGUGGCGAAGGCGGGUCUCUGGGCAAUUCCUGACGCUGAGGCGCGAAAGCGUGGGGAGCAAACGGGAUUAGAUACCCCGGUAGUCCACGCUGUAAACGAUGACGACUA
rnacentral:rRNA from 1 species